rnacentral:lncRNA from 1 species
UUAGUUGCCAAAUUGUUAUUUUACCCGAGGCUGCAUUAUUUUUACUUCUUGUAUAUUUGGUACUUUUAAAUUUUACCAGGACAAAAUGACAAUCUGGCUGGGACAUAGGGACCGCAUCAUCAAAUUUGGGACAGUCCUGGUCAAAGCAAGAUGUCUGGUAAGUCUAAAUAUAUCUCCAGCCACUGAACCAAUUUUGAUUUUGUAUAGUCUAUAUUCCCACAAGGCCAUAGGAAGUCAGCCUGAAAAGUUAGAUCCUAAUAGGUCAAAUAUUAUAGAAGUCUAUGUAAUAAAUAAUCUAAUCAGCACGGGCUCUCCUGGUGGUCAAGUUUUGUAGUAACUGCCUAUUGAUGAUUAAUAUUUUAAUUUUAUACUACGAUGCCAC